rnacentral:rRNA from 1 species
UGAGGAAUAUUGGUCAAUGGUCGCUAGACUGAACCAGCCAAGUAGCGUGCGGGAUGAAGGCCCUCCGGGUCGUAAACCGCUUUUAGACGGGGAUAAAAGAGCGUACGUGUACGCCGUAUUGCAUGUACCGUCAGAAAAACGGACCGGCUAAUUCCGUGCCAGCAGCCGCGGUAAUACGGAAGGUCCGGGCGUUAUCCGGAUUUAUUGGGUUUAAAGGGAGCGUAGGCGGACUUUCAAGUCAGUGGUAAAAUCGUGUGGCUCAACCAUACCUCGCCAUUGAAACUGGAAGUCUGGAGUGCACACAGGGGUGCCGGAAUUCAUGGUGUAGCGGUGAAAUGCUUAGAUAUCAUGAAGAACUCCGAUCGCGAAGGCAAGUGCCCGGGGUGCAACUGACGCUGAGGCUCGAAGGUGCGGGUAUCGAACAGGAUUAAUACC